CAGAUGCGGGCAGUUCUUCAUCGUGUGCUGGGGCUGCUGCUCCACAUGUCCAUUCACAGCCAUCAGAGACUGUGAAAGACACAAAUACGGAAGAACAGAAGAAAGAUACAGUAGGUGAACACGACUCAUCAAACCAAGAAGAGAAACCCACAGGAUUGAGUCCUGACCAGACUAGUCCUUCAGCAGAUGCGGGCAGUUC